CCCCAGCACUCAGCUGAUCAAACAAAGAGGUUAUCCUGAUUGACACCUGCUCAGUGCAUGGCUUGGGCUGUUAAAUGUAAAAAGGUCCAUCGUAAGAGGCGCUCAAAGGGCUAGUCCACACAGCUGACUCAGUGAUGCUUCAAGAAGGUUCCAUCAAUGAUGAAGAAGGUCCAUAAAGACCAAACAGGUCUAAAAUGCCUCCAUCAUCUUGUUCUCAAGAGGGUAUGUUCUACUUUUGAACCAAAUUCCAUGAAAUACUGCCACUCUACCAGAACCUCUCAAGCCAGGCAGGAUCGAGAACUGUGAUAGGGGAACAUUAAAACUUUGAAACAAUUCUCUUUCCAAAGACAA